UGCAGACGUGUGCUCAGUGAUGCUGCUAGGGAAGCACACCCAGGGAUGGGUCCCCCACCAGGACCCCAACAUUGCACCCCACUGCCUCAAGUGCUACGAAACAACAUGAGAGAAACCCACAGCCAUCUCCACCGCUCCCAAAGCUGCCCCGCUCCCCGCCAAGAAUGGACGCAGUCCUGGGGCAGCAUUUUGCUUUCGCACCAGGAUGUGGUUAAUCAUUCCCCAGCAGCAGCACGCCGUGUACAGGACGCAGCACAUCGUGCUGCUUUCACCGAGCCCUGGUGCUCUGCAACCUCAUCUGGGGCCGGGGUGCAGGAUUUGCUCUCUGCCCCUUUUUUAUCAGCCUUGGUCUCAGCACUGGUACCGCAUCUGUGCCAGCCUCCUCCUCGCGCAUCGCCGCUCCUUACCUUGAUGUUGCAGAAGAUACCACGGGAGCAGGUGCUGGAGCUUUUGGGGGCAUCCACUGGGGACUUGGCAGCUUCGGGAUGGACCCCCAUGGUGCACCCCAACAGACACGCUCGUGAGGGCUCCGGCCCGUCCUGCUCCGAAAACGACAGGUAAACUCUCAGAGAAGACGCAAAGGCUUCUGCCCCCUACAACACUAGACCUAUUGUUAGCCCCAAGCACUGCCUGCUCCUGCUGCCUGCUCCCUUCUUCCCCUCUUGAAGAAGAUAUUGCUCCCCACGCACCGAUGCCAUGGCCUUUCCCUGCCUCCUCCAACCUGCAGACCUAAAACCAGCCCUCAUCGUAUCAGCACAGGCUUGGUUCAGCCAGGAUAUUUCACAAGAGAGUCCCAGCAGUACCGAAAACACAAGAAAUCAUUACAUAAACAGCCUGCUGUUUUCAUAUUCAGCUGGAAGUUGGCCCAGGACACCUCAUUUCGAAGUGCAGCCCUCCAUCACCCAAGAUAAGAGACUACGCCACUCACCAUGCUGCAUCCAACAUCUUCCCCAGAGGAAUCAGCCACGGGAACCCCAUCUCUGGAAGAGAAAAGUUUGGCACAGCCACAGCAUCACUGGAGUUGCUGCAGGAUCCCAUGCAUCAUUUCUCAGCUCGAGCUUGCAAGUGCUGCUGGAGGUGGCAAAGCCAUGCUGCAGGUGAAAGGCGUGGAGACUUCUCUGUGGUCUGAUUUACUCAAAGCUUGUAUGAGAUAAUGUCCUUUUAAAAUACAAUUUCCCAUUCAUUGAAAAACGUAUUCUAGCAAACCCAGUCCUUUUCCAGCUCCUUACCCCACUGGCCUGGGGCAUAAGGUAUCCCCCAUUGGGUCUUCCACACUGCCAUUUUCUGCAGCACUUCCAUUAGAUGCAACACUGAUGGAGGGGGCACCUUCUCAUAACACAGAGGAAAACAGGUCUGAAGAGGUACCCCCUGCCCACACUUUCAUUCCUCAGUUAAAUAGAAAUGUGUUGGGCUCCGACACAACAGAGAACUGCGGAAAUCCAAACACGAAGGCAGAACUUAAAGAAACCAACGUAAGCCUGAAGCCUGGAAAGAAGUACCCUGUUUUCAGUGAGGGAAAGAACGAAACAUAAACCAAUGGCCCAGAACUAGAACAAGUGAGGAAUCAGAAUCUGCCACCACGGUUGUAUUCACAUUGACUGUGCAGCCAGCCCGACAGACACCACUUUGUCCCCCAACGGGACCCCGGAUGGCUUUCACAGCCCAAAGGGACACCUAGAUCCCAGGCACCUCCCACACCAGUACUUCCUGCUCCUGCUUCCCAGCACUGGCUCUGGCCAGGAACGUGACUCCGGACCCGGUCUGGCCUGAUCCUGCCCAUGCCCUACUCAGCUGGUCCAGCACGACGUCAGCAUUACGCAGGCUGGAGAACACACAGGAGAGCAGAGGCGUUCACUCCUGAUGGGAGAUGGAGCGAUAGGGAUGUCGCUGUGUAUUUUGGCUGCCUUGCACACCAGGCAAUCACACCCCACUGCUCAUUUCUCUCCUGGCUUGAGGUUUGCCCAAUUUCAGCUUCUGGAAGAAAAAUCCGCUCAUACCAGGCUGCUCUCUGGACUGUGGGGGGAUCAGCUCCCCAUCCUUCCCCCAUCCACCAAGCACCUUGGGGACAGGAGGGCACACAGGAGCAAUAAAUGCCCGUGUGGUCUCAGUAGGCUCUGGACUCACCUCUACCAUCACUGGUGGUCACAGUGGCCAUGGGCAACAGUCGCAUCCCAAAGAGCCACCACAGCAAGUGAAGGACUGGAAACAAUCCCAGCCUUUUAUUUUUUACUUUUACUUAUUAAUUAAGGGAAAAUUAAAACACAUCACGGAGACAGAUUAUUUUAAACACACUGCAGCCUGCCAUGCCAAGACAGGAAAGUCACCGCACAGCCCAUGCAGUCUGGUGGUCCCUUUCUUUUCUGUAACGGAUGGAAGCAAGCAUGAUGCCGGCAGGAUAUUUUCCCUGCCUCAUUGUUUUCAAGCUUUUUCAGAAGUGAGUUUCCAUGCAGCUAAUAAAGGGGCAGGUUGGCAUCAUCUUAAUGAAAACUAAUUAAAUGUAAUUUAGCCUGACGAAAAUAUUUGUGCUCCACAGGGAACACCCUGUAGCUGGCUACUAAGAGGCAGGAAGAAAGUACUUCUUACAGUAACAGGCUUUAUUUCACACUGGUUACUCUAGAGCUUCCCAUCAAGGCUUGUCAUGGCAAAGAGCCUACUUAACCAAUUUGAUUCUUGAAUUCCUCCCCCAAGUUUCACUGGCUUUGGUGUGAGGAUAUCGGCAAACAAGGAGUGCAGCAUCCAUCCAUCCCCCAGGGCUUUGGUGGUGCUGUGUUUUCCGACAUGUGAGCAUCAGGUGAUGGGCAGCCAAGUGGAAAGCCAGAAAAGUUAUCAGAUCCUGGUAGGAAAUGCUUCCAUGGGGAUGAAUCCUCUUUAAACAGACAAAACUCAGAAACGUAACGUUUUUCCCGCUCUUGCUUAGUCCUCACCUUUUGUUUUGUUCCUGAAAGCUGCUGGAUUUGAGGAAGUAUCCUAAGAACAGGAUAGUUCCUCCCCAAAAGAUGACCUGUAUUUAAAAAAGCAAUCCAAAAGCACGCAGACAUGCAAACAAGCCACGAUGGAGUCAUUUGACUGAAUUAAUAAGAUUUAUCAGACGAUCUCAGUUUACAGGGAAGGCCAUUUCUUAGAAGCAAACUGCCUGCUUGAGAAACAAAGAAGCUGUUCUGGUGUUAGGGGGGUUAAGCAGCCCAAUUUCCAACGGAUCCAUGCUUGUGUAUGUUACUUUCCUCCUCUGUCCCCAGCACUGUCCAAAUCUCCCCAUUAUGCCCAGUUGUGGGGCCAAGGCAGUGAGCUGGGCAGCAAACAGGGGGCAGAUCCUGCUCACCUCUCCCUUCUCCGUUUGCUUCUUGACCUUGGGUUUGAGCCUAACUAUUCCUGAGCCAUUUGCAAUGCUGUCCAGGGGAUCACUGGGGGGCAAUGGGCUUUUGCAGGAGGAAUGAAGAGUUUACACACUGCAUGACACAAAGUACCAAAGAAACAUGCUCAGCUCUUUGUCUGGGUUAACACAGUGGCACAAAUCUUCCUCGCAGAGGAUGUGCAUGGCCUCAGGGUGUUUCCCCAUGGCUUCCCCCAUGAUGGCAGCUGUACACAUGCAAAACCUCAUCUUUCUCAACUGCUGUUUGGAACAAGAGAAAAACAUGCCUCCUCCUUUCCUCCUCUUCUUCCUCUCGCUAAUUACCGCUCCCAGGUCUUUCAGCUUAUUAACAUCCGUGCUUAUUGGCUGCUGGAUAAGCUUCUGCAAAACCUUGGCGUUGGCUUGCAGCCAUGUGUAUGGGCUGGAGGUGAUACUGAAGGUCCCCCCAGGGCAGAAGCGAUUCGCAUUGCUGAAGGAUGAGAUGGUCUCCUCCUUGCAAGGCACGAGGCCAGGACCCCCUUGAAGGCACUGUGUGCCCUCCAAUCCCCACCACGUCACUGCUGGAUGCAGAAAAGACACAGUGGAGUGCCAACUGCUGGGGCUUUAAUCCAGAUGGGGCCCUACUGGGAGGCCAUAGCCUCAAAAGGCAAGGGAGAUCUCAAGCUGACGCUGAGUUCCUCAAAGAGGAGCUCAGUGCCACCAGCCCCUGGCCACCAGAGAGAAGGUGCCUGCCAGCAAAACUCUGAGAGAAAGCCAAAUUCUGUUAAGAUCACACUGCUCAGUAGUGGAAAUGAUAAAUAGUGCAGCCAUCUUCAAGACAAGACUGCUCAGCUCAAACCUAGGCCAGGGGGUAUUUUGGAGAGGGGGUGGUCCAGGAUCUUCCCAGCCCCGGAGAGCUUCCAGCCAUUCAGACCCUACAAGGCUCCAGGCAGUAUCAAAAGACAAGCCAAGAAAACAAUCCAAAGAUCCCACUUCUUAAAGGGACAGAAGGACAAAGAACUGACAGACCUUCAAGAGGAGACACGUUAACAGGAUACAAAGACAAUCUCUAAAUAAACCAAACCAGAGCAGCCAAGUAGCACAAGAGCUGGGGAGAGAACAGGGAAUGGCCUUGGGUUCUUGGGAGGAGCACAUUUGAAAGGAGUGUAGCACAAGCAGGAGGACCUGGACUGAUCUUUUAUGGUUCUUUUCCAGGCAACUUUGUGGUCCCAUAACAGUGCAGUCAGGAAAAGAGGGGCCAACGUGGUGCUGAAGAUGAAUAACUGCCAAAACAAUCCUUCCAUUGCACUUUUUGGGAGAGCUUCUGACACACUCGCUUACAGUAAUUUCCUCUAAUCUGCUAAUUGCGCUGAGAAAUUCCACGAAAUGUUUUCUGAGCAGUCAGAAGGGGUGGUAGGGUUGGGCAGCUGGAGCGCAUCCUACACACAAGCGCUCAUCCUCCUCAGCACGUGUGGAAGCCUGGCACGGGCACGACAGCCGUACCGUGGAUUGGAACUGGUUGGUUGUGGGCAGGGAACGAGAGAAGUGAAAUUCUGAUGAAUAUUAGCUAGGAAAUGCUGCUUUUUGCCACUGAUCCCCAGGAGUGAGAGUCAGCGCGUGGGCAGGAAGGUAUCGCAACAACAAGAGGAUGCUGUGGGUUCACCUUGUCUUUCCUAUGGCUAGAGACUGAGCACGCUGUUUUUUUCUGUAAUAUUAAGAAACCUCUUCAAAAGAACAAGGCAUUUCAUUAGUGAUCACUGGCAUUUUCUACAUCCAUGAACAAAAACUGGCAUUACAGCUCAAACCCUCCAGAUCAGAAUUUCAGGCGAGAGGAACUCCCCGCAUACUUCUGGAUGUCUCAUUUGUCGGGGGAGGGCUGACGCAUGGCCUUUGACUAAUUGCACAGAGGAAUCCAGCUGCCUCCAGAAAAACUCACUGAGGCACAACUUCUCCUAUUUCCCUUCCUCCACACCAAGAAAUAGCUGAAAACUCAAAUAGUUUGCUAAAACCCUUCCCCGGUGGACACCAUCCAAUUUUCAAUUUCCAAGACCUCAAAAAUAUGCGGUCAGGAAGGAACACGGAUCAAUGCCAGUGGUGCUAACAUAACGCAAAGGCAACCCGAAUCAAGACAUUAAGGAAUUUGCUCGAAUGGCUGCUAGUAUUAUUUCACACAAUCAAGGGGUGGAGGCAAAAGAAAAGAAAAAUUACUCAUUUUGUGAUUCCGCUUCUCUGAGCCCUUUGACCCUCUUGGCUGUGGGGUUCCAGCUCUACACACGGAGCCAAAAUGGCUUUAAGGGUUUCUACUUCCUAGGUAUGACAAAGGCUGGGCUUUGGGACAGCUUCAGCCAAGUGGCUUAGCUGAGCCAGGAAAGGAAAAAAUUCCCUUCAAAGCUACUUAUGGCGGCUCCUAGAUUCCUCCUCCUUCGUCUCCUGUAGGAUUGCUUUUUUUUUGAAUGAGAAAUAUUGAAGGCCACUAGAGAUGGUUGUGCCAGGGAAUGGAGCAGGUGGUGUCAGAGGAGUCCUUCUGGCUGGUGACACGAGCAGCCCCUGGCUGGCUGCUGCCGAGCAGAGGACGAGUGUCAUUUCCCUUGCGGGAAAGCUCAACUGCGUUCACCAAAGACCGCGAGCCACUUGGGAGCUGAAGUCCACCGCAGAGCAGACAGGAUUUCCAGCUCAGGAGAACAAUUACCAUCAGGAUGUGGUUUUUAAGGUCACAAGUUUGUAAGAAGCGCCGGUGGCUCAGCCUGGAAGCAGCGAUCUCCAUGCCAGAGAGUCCCCAGAGAGCCCUUUGCAAGCUCCAGAGUCAAAUGGUGCAGCUUUGAGAGAUGGACAGAGGAGCUGGACCACUCCUGCACGAAGGACGCUCUGCUUUCUUUGGAGCACCGUUGGCGUGCAGAAUGCCGCUCGCAUCCUUUGACACAUGGAAGAGGGGUCAGCCUGCAGGAUGGCCGGGGUGGUGCUUCCAUGGCUUGCAGAGCUUGUUCUGUGGAAGCAAAGCAGCAGAGCUGGGCACACACUGGCCAACACCAACAGUGAUCUGGGCAUGGCUUCUAGGCAACAUCCUGAAACGGUCUCAUGAGGCAGGACAGUGACGUACAGGGCUGGUUCAACCCAUGCCAGAACAGUUUCUUUAACGAUAUCUAAUAAAGGAAGGGACAAAGCUGCACCUCCGCCCUGGGCCACCAGAUGAGAACAAGAGGACAGCAGUGACCCAGCAUCCAGCUCCCAGUAUCAGCAGUCUCAGCUGGAUGGAAGAGAUGGAGAAGGACCAGAAAGGCAGUGCGCAGCUUUCCUGGAAAGAGCUCAGACAAAAGCAACACCAAUCUCAGCCAGCAAAACAAAUCAGCAUUUCCCCUGAACGGCAUGGAUGAGGAUGAAGAAAAGAGGAAGGAAUGGAGUUUGUUUUCACGUGCCCUGGUGUUGUGCAACAGUCCAACGUCCUCUGGGCAAUUGUAAAAACCCCACGCGCCCCACACUGCUGAGCUCACGCUGGCCUUAUCUCUGUCAGCAAAUAAAACAAAAUAGUCACCCGACAAUUUAACUGGGAGGACUUUCUGCGGCUCUGCCUUAUCUCUGCACGCAGAGUGAAACCAUCCUGCUGACGUGAGCCCCGUCUUCUGAGAGGGAGCUGGGACGCAGCGUCCGAUGCGUGGUACAGACCUGCCUGGGACCACGCUGUAGUGACGCACAGGGGAGGCCUCCUCAGCCCAGGUUUGCCACGUGGUUGAUAAUUACCAGCUCUGCCUGACCAUCCUUCGGGUUGCAGGGCUGCAGCAUCCCUCUGCCAGCAGUGAGCCAAGUUGAUGACAGCAGUAGAGCUCACCGUUUGGGUGCCUUCAUCCUGCAAGCCCUCCUCACCCACAUGCCGUCUGCCUCAUGCUUUGUGUGUUCAGGGCACACGGCACCAUCCCUUACCGUAAGCGUGACAGCUCCUAUCUCUCUGUUUACACAAAGGGCAUGAAGCAAGUAGACAUCCCUGUGGGGCCAUCAAGACCUUGGUGGACGGACCAGAACACAGUCCCAAGGAGCUCAAGGACAUAAGCAAGUCUGCAUGCAUGACCCUCCAUCAGAGGGCAAAGAGCUGGGUGGUGACUUGAAACGUUCUGGGAAUCAAAAACGUGCCCACACAAGCAAAAAAGUGCUUGCUUCUUGUUUGUCAGCUCUGUGCGAUUCAACUAGACUUGAUCUCGAAGGUCUUUUCCAGCUGAGAUGAACCCAUGAGUUGUAAAGGAGCUUACCAUGAAGAUAUGCUCUGGUAACGCCAGGGUGAUGGUGGGGGGCUGCCCAGGUCCACAUGGUCCCUGAGGAGAUCGCAGCCUGCACCCCUCCACCAGCCUGCAGGGUGUUUGGUGUGCCUGAGGCCACGUGCAGCUCCUCGCUGUGCUGCCAAGGUCCCUGAGGCCCCCCAAGGACACAGCCCCAAGACAAGCACCCUGCUGCCAGCAUGGAGCCCCAGCAAUGCUCCCUGGGCAGCAUAGGGGCUGCUGGGGGGUUCUGCAGCCAAAUGGAGCGAAGUGCGGGGACAGAGACAGAAUGAAAACUUGGGGUUGGGAAAUCAAAAUGCUUGAGAUAAAUUAAAAAAGAUAUAUAUAUAAGCAAUUAAUCAACACUUAAAACCCACUUCCUCCCCCAAAUGGUUUCAAAAGAUACAGUAUUUUUGCAGCCGAGCGCUGAGCAGCAACAAUUUCCUGAUUUCCUGUGCUCAAGCCGUCCAGGAGACCUGGGCACUGCAGGAGGAUUUAUGUCUUACCGGUAUUUGCUCCUUGCACAACUGAAAAACAGCCCUCCGAAAGAAGAGGAAUGAUCCUGUUUGUUGUUGGCUUCCCCAUAUGCAGCAAAUGAAGUGGAUGUAGAAGUGAGAUGUCUCCAGUGCCCAGCAUGGCUGUGCGCUGCCCCCAGGGAUGCUCACAGCUGGGUUCCUGCCCACCCACCCGCUGCUCCCAACUCACUCCCUACUGAGGUGAACUGGUCCAGGGCCAGAACCUUGGGGGUUCUUGGGUAAGGUUCACAUCCUGAAGCGAUUACAGACACGGAUGAGGUGUUUGAAGAAAGAGAAUGAAGAAAAAUGCUAACACGCAUCAUUCCUGGAGGCGUUGCAGAGAUGCGGCGCUGAGGGACCCCAUCAGUGGGCAUGGUGGGAUGGGCUGGGGUUGGACAUAAUGACUUUAGGGGUCUUUUCCUACACUAACAAUUAGUCAGUUUGGCAAUGGCAAAGCAAAAGGGGGAACGUUUGUGCUCCGUGGAGCUAGGGGAAGGCACGAGCCUUGUGCCAAUUCAUCUCAGAUGAACUUUGCCAGAACGCAGGAACAAGACAAAAAGAAGUGGCAGCACUUGAACUCCCUGGGACUACAGAGCAUCUCAUCAAGGGCUGCAGAAAGGAAAUGUAGCUGUGGGAGGGAAGGCGGCUUGAUACACUCUCCCACCCACCUCUGCUUCCUAUGGCUCCAAAUCUGCCCCCUGGGACUCAGCCUCUAUUGAGCAGAGACGCUGAGAAAUAAGAUAUUAUCCACUAAAAGCUAAAUACGAACGUUCAAGCAGAGAUUUAAGGAUAAUAGCAUAAGAUUUCGGCAGUGGUCACUGCCCUAGGACAGGAGCCAGGAGAAUCUGAUGGAAGAAUCUGUCCUGUAGCCAGCUGCACAGUCUGGUACCACAGUAGGAAGAAAUAUGUGCAAAAAAAAUAUGUUGUAAUUAAUUUUUUUUUUUUUCCCUUAAAGCUCAUAGAUUUCAAGAUUAGAGAAACACACCCAGAAUGGUUUUUAACUAUCCAAAGGAACAAAGGAGGUUUGCAAGUGAUGUAUUUUUAUGAAGACUCAGACAAUAUCCACAAGUCCCUUCUUGUAAUAAAACUUGGAGCUUUGCAUGAA